AAGCACUUGGCCGAGAUCGUGAGUUUUUUAACAAAUGACCUCAAAUCAGGCAAGAAUACCCGCUGAAUUAAGCAUAUCAAUAAGCGGAGGAAAAGAAACUAACAAGGAUUCCCCUAGUAACGGCGAGUGAAGAGGGAAGAGCUCAAAUUUUAAAUCUGCCUUGUUCCAAGGUCGAGUUGUAAUUUGAAGAAGCGUUUUCUUGGGCUCGCGGCCGGUAGAAGUUCUUUGGAACAGGACAUCAUAGAGGGUGACAAUCCCGUCCGUGACCGGUCGUGCGUUCAUCUACGAUACGCUUUCAAAGAGUCGAGUUGUUUGGGAUUGCAACUCCAAACGGGUGGUAAACAUCACCUAAGGCUAAAUAUUGGCGAGAGACCGAUAGCGAACAAGUACCGUGAGGGAAAGAUGAAAAGAACUUUGAAAAGAGAGUUAAACAGUACGUGAAAUUGUUGAAAGGGAAACGAUUGAAGUCAGUCGUGCUGGCGCGAAAUCAACCCUCUCGUCUUGAGAUCACAUGGCGCGACGAGCCUCAAAACCGUCACGAAGCGUGAACUCUUGACGAAAAGGUGCACUUUCGUGUCCGCUGGUUAACAUCAAUUUCGAACGUCAUAAAAAGGCUGGAGGGAUGUGGCUCCUUCGGGAGUGUUAUAACCUUUAGCGGAAUGUGGCGUUCGGGAUUGAGGAUUGCAACGAAUACCUUCAGGGCUGUUCCACCUGGCUUCUCAUUGGUAUCCUGGUGACGACAGCUUGCUGACGUCGUUAGGAUCAGCUUCUGAACAGGCUAGAGUGUGAGCAAAUUCGUUAAGGAUGUUAACGUAAUGGCUUUAAACGACC
rnacentral:rRNA from 1 species